rnacentral:rRNA from 1 species
UACGUAGGGGGCAAGCGUUGUCCGGAUUUAUUGGGCGUAAAGAGCGUGUAGGCGGCUUUACAGGUCCGUUGUGAAAACUCGAGGCUCAACCUCGAGACGCCGGUGGAAACCGUAAAGCUAGAGUCCGGAAGAGGAGAGUGGAAUUCCUGGUGUAGCGGUGAAAUGCGCAGAUAUCAGGAAGAACACCCGUGGCGAAGGCGGCUCUCUGGGACGGUACUGACUCUGAGACGCGAAAGCGUGGGGAGCGAACAGG